CCAGUGCCCAUCUCUAGCUCGGCAUGAAGGAAGCAGACUCCCGAUGGGACUCCUUCCUCCCGUCUUCAUUGGAGGAAAAUUCGAUGCCGAGGCGGAUUCUCGGUGCCUCCUCCCACUCUAUUUAAAAGGUUCUUUCAAGGUCAUCACUACCAAACACGUCGCCAGUAGUCCCCUUCUUUUUUUCUUCCGUAUGACACCAUCCCUAUUUUGUGGAUUUUUCUUGACCGGCCAGCAUUAUCGGAGCCUUGCCGAAGUUAGCGGUGCCGCCACCCUCACCCUUCGCGAGCCACUGUUGAUGGAUGGGAUCUCAUCGGGGGAUCGCAGAAUUUUGAAUGAUUCUGAGAACUAACCUAUCGGGGAUUUAAAAUGGAAGAGCGACUAGAAGAACUGAAGCACAAGUUAUCCUAGAUUAGGCUUUAUUUAAAUUGAUGUUUUAUCUUUAUUGUUCCGCUGCGUAUUUAGAACUGUGAGACUAUAUAAUUUGGGUCAGUCAAUGGAGUAAGAUUGCAUUUAUUUCA